GACGAACGCUGGCGGCGUGCCUAAUACAUGCAAGUAGGACGCAGUUGCGAACGGGUGAGUAACGCGUAGGUAACUACCUAUUAGAGGGGGAGAACUAUUGGAAACGAUAGCGAAUACCGCAUACUAGUAGAUGGAUCUGCGGUGUAUUAGCUAGUAGGUAGGGGAAUGGCCUACCUAGGCAGAGAUACAUAACCGACCUGAGAGGGUGAUCGGCCACACUGUGACUGAGACACGGCCCAGACUCCUACGGGAGGCAGCAGUAGGGAAUCUUCGGCAAUGGGGGUAAGCCUGACCGAGCAACGCCGCGUGAGUGAAGAAGGGUUUCGGAUCGUAAAGCUCUGUUGUUAAGGAAGCGGUACUUAACCAGAAAGGGACGGCUAACUACGUGCCAGCAGCCGCGGUAAUUC
rnacentral:rRNA from 1 species